rnacentral:lncRNA from 10 species
ACAUUUUUUUUUUUGAGUUGGAGUCUCACUCUGUCGCCCAUGUUGGGGUGCAGUGGCGUGAUCUUGGCUCACGGCAACCUUUGAUUCCUGGGUUUAAGCAAUUCUCCUGCCUCAGCCUUCCGAGUGGCUGGGACUACAGGUGCAUGCCACCAUGCCUGGGUAAUUUUUUGUAUUUUAGUAGAGACAGGGUUUCACCGUGUUGCCCAGGCUGGUCUUGAACUCCUGAGCUCAGGCAAUCCGCCCACCUCAGCCUCCCAAAGUGUUGGGAUUACAGGAAUGAGCCACCGUGCCUGGCCACAUUUCUAUUAAAUGCAUAAAAAUUACAACCUUCUAAAAGAGGCCCAACUGUAUAUAGAAAAUAAUAAAAAUCUAAGCACUGGCAGGUGCAACAUCUCAGAUGUUUGAGAAAUUCAGAAAGGAGUAAUUAUAAAGACAAGGGAAUGAAGCACAUGAAAGGACAAUCAUCCCCUGCAGCCACAGAGCAGAAAUAGUUGAGGAUCAGGCCUAGGACUUAAUUAUAAGAGUAGCUGCGCACCAGAGAGAAAUUUAAAUUGUCAAUCCCCCCAGCAGUGUUACUUUUAUCCCAUGGGUUUGGAUUUUU